UGCUGUGAAGAGAACAACAGUCAGACUGAAUGUUGAACAUCAGCUGCUUUCUCCUGCUGGUUUAAACCUUGUUGGACAGAUGGAACAUUGGCUGUGGAUUAUUCUGGCUGCUCUUUUCUCUGAGUGUAAAGGAGACUCAGUGACGCAGACAGAAAGAGAAGUUGUUGCUGCUGCAGGAGAAACUCGGAUUCUGGGAUGUAAUUAUGAGAGCAUCUCUGUGACGCCUACAUUGUUCUGGUACAAGCUGGAGGAAAACAGUUUUCCACAGUACAUGCUGAAGCAACAAACAUCGACAACAUAUAAAGCUCCAGAGUUCAACAGCAGCAGAUUUGAUGCUGACCUCAAUAAAACCAAGAAAUCCUUCAACCUGACGAUCCAGGAUCUCCGUCCGUCAGACUCUGCUGUGUACUACUGCGCUCUGCAGCCCACAGUGACAGGAAACACCAGAACCCUGUGCAAAAACCUGCAGUACUCCACAGCGGCCACUAGAGGGCCUCGUACAUCAGGUUACAUUAAGAUGAGCUGCAGCUACUGGAGCCAAACUAACCUGAAGCAGCAGCAUCUCCACCUGGUUCAAACUGGCAGAAGUCAGUGAAAACCAAUGGAACCA